GACGAACGCUGGCGGCGUGCUUAACACAUGCAAGUCGAACGAAGAGCGAUGGAAGCUUGCUUCUAUCAAUCUUAGUGGCGAACGGGUGAGUAACGCGUAAUCAACCUGCCCUUCAGAGGGGGACAACAGUUGGAAACGACUGCUAAUACCGCAUACGAUCUAAUCUCGGCAUCGAGGAUAGAUGAAAGGUGGCCUCUACAUGUAAGCUAUCACUGAAGGCGGGGAUUGCGUCUGAUUAGCUAGUUGGAGGGGUAACGGCCCACCAAGGCGAUGAUCAGUAGCCGGUCUGAGAGGAUGAACGGCCACAUUGGGACUGAGACACGGCCCAGACUCCUACGGGAGGCAGCAGUGGGGAAUCUUCCGCAAUGGACGAAAGUCCGACGGAGCAACGCCGCGUGAGUGAUGACGGCCUUCGGGUUGUAAAGCUCUGUUAAUCGGGACGAAAGGCCUUCUUGCGAAUAGUGAGAAGGAUUGACGGUACCGGAAUAGAAAGCCACGGCUAACUACGUG
rnacentral:rRNA from 1 species